rnacentral:rRNA from 1 species
UACGUAGGGGGCGAGCGUUGUCCGGAAUCAUUGGGCGUAAAGCGCGCGCAGGCGGCUCGGAGAGCCCGGCGUGAAAGCCCCCGGCUCAACCGGGGGAGGCCGUCGGGGACCUUCGGGCUGGAGGCCGGCAGGGGGGAGUGGAAUUCCCGGUGUAGUGGUGGAAUGCGUAGAGAUCGGUAGGAACACCGGUGGCGAAGGCGGCUCCCUGGGCCGGUCCUGACGCUGAGGCGCGAAAGCGUGGGGAGCAAACAGG